GAUGAUGAUAUCCACGUAGGCAGUUUUACGAAACCUCUUCUUCUACCUUUUGCUUCUCCUCCUGACUUCGUCCCUAAAUCUUCCUUUUCCUCCUCCCUCUGCGCGCGCUUCCAAGAACUCGGCGUCUCUGAAAUUCUCCAUCCCCCCUUAUUACCCUCCAACUCCUUGGUCCUCUCCUCUCCAUCCCAAACCUCAAUCGUUUUCACGAUUCCUAUUUCUCACAACAGGAACAACCAUUCCUUUCUCCCAGCC
rnacentral:lncRNA from 1 species